AAAUGACCCUCAGAUAUAAUUCUAAUAUCACCAGUUGGCCUUUCUUGACAUCUCUUUUAGUCUUCUCUCUUUUUCAGAAAUGUGAGUUCUUUGCGAAAUGUUUUGAACUGAAUUUUAGGUCAUUAAAUUGUGAGUUUUGGAAUAUAGUGGAAGGGACAUGUGAGUGUUUUAGAUUAGUAGAAUGACAAUCAUUUCAAUUUCUUUAAGUAUUUUCAUCUUCUGUUUUUAGGAAUGGUGGACUCAUCUUUGGUUAAAUGAAGGUUUUGCAUCCUGGAUUGAAUAUCUGUGUGUAGACCACUGCUUCCCAGAGUAUGAUAUUUGGACUCAGUUUGUUUCUGCUGAUUACACCCGUGCCCAGGAGCUUGACGCCUUAGAUAACAGCCAUCCUAUUGAAUAUUACAGGCUAUCUGCUUCCUGUCAUAACCCUGAAUCACACUGUCUGCCAGGUCAGUGUGGGCCAUCCAUCUGAGGUUGAUGAGAUAUUUGAUGCUAUAUCAUAUAGCAAAGGUGCAUCUGUCAUCCGAAUGCUGCAUGACUACAUUGGGGAUAAGGACUUUAAGAAAGGAAUGAACAUGUAUUUAACCAAGUUCCAACAAAAGAAUGCUGCCGCAGGUAAUCUUUAAUAGCUUGAGAUAGAAAUGGAGAGAAAGUAUUGUCACUCUAUCCAGGCUGGGACAUUUUAUUUUUGUUCUGAAUACUUAACUCAAGGUCAGGAUCCAUGUAAUAAAUAAAUUAGCCUUAUUUGAAGCUGUGUUCAGGUUGAAUAUCUCUAAUCUGAAAUUUGAAAUGCUCCAGAAUCUGAAACUUUUUCUUUUCUUUCUUUCUUUUUUUUUAAUUAAAGUUCUAGGGUGCAUGUGCACAAUGUGCAGGUUUGUUACAUCAGUAUACAUGUGCCAUGUUGGUUUGCUGCACCCAUUAACUCGUCAUUUACAUUAGGUAUUUCUCCUAAUGCUAUCCCUCCCCCAGCCCCCUACCCCAUGACAGGCCCUGGUGUCUGAUGUUCCCCGCCCUGUGUUCAAGUGUUCUCAUUGUUCAAUUCCCACCCAAAAUCUGAAACUUUUUGAGUGCCAACGUGAUGCUCAAAGGAAAUGCUCAUUGGAACAUUUUAGAUUUUGGAUAUUGCAAUUAUAGAUGCUCAGCUAGUAAGUAUAAUGCAAAUAUUCCAAAAUCCAAAAGAAAUAUGAAAUUCAAAACAUUGCUGGUCCCACGCAUUUUGGAUAAGGGACACUCAACCUGCAGUAAGUCAUAGGGUCAACAUGAAUCAGGACUCAUUAUCCCUUUGGUCAUCCUCCAGCAUUCUGCUUUCCAUAACUGAAUAUUUUGCCAACUUAAAGAGUCUGGGCCGGGUGUGGUGGCUCACGCCUGUAAUCCUAGCACUUUGGGAGGCCAGGAUGUGAGGACUGAUUGAGCCCAGGAGUUCAAGACCAGCUUGCAACAUAGCGAGACCCCACCUCUAC
rnacentral:lncRNA from 10 species